rnacentral:rRNA from 1 species
GUCCAAAGUAAUAAGGGCAUACGGUGGAUGCCUAGCCAGCUAGAGGCGAAGAAGGACGUGGCCAGCUGCGAAAAGCUGCGGGGAGCUGCAAGCGAGCAAAGAUCCGCAGAUAUCCGAAUGGGGAAACCCGGAGG